CGCGCUGACCGGAUGGAGUUGCCAUGGAAACGGAGCGCAACACUGCAAAUGUCACGAGGAAACACCCCGUUUCUCGCUGAUUUCACUGUUUUCAGGAAUGGUUUAAUGUCUUCGAAAAAGUCCGUUAGCAUUUCUACCGUUUUCAGACGACGUAUCGUCAGAUUCUUCAGUGCUGAUGGCCUGCUGCAUCCAGCAGAGUCGGAGUGAACCUACUGUAAGACAACAUCUCCAAGAUGCUAUUGACCACAAGACUAGUACAGGUUAUUAGAAACUGCACAGCACAGGACUUGCAGGACUUGUGAGGACUUCAGAUGAUACCAGUACUCAAAAGACCUUAGAUGAUGGCAACUAUAGAUGGACAUACAAACAACCGCCACUGCAAAAAAGAUUCUAAUUUGAAAGAAGUUUAUAAUGCAUGUUCGCUACUCCCAAUUCAGAAGACUGAAUCAGCCUGUGUAUCUGAAAGUUUCUCAUACUCACUCCUCUCUGCCGCGUCUGAAUUUGGGAUUUUUCUUAGCUGUCAGUUAUAAACGUCAAAAUUAAAAGAAAUAAACAUUUGAAAUAUAUCAGUCUGUGUGUAAUGAAUAAAUAUAAUAUACAAGUUUCACUUUUUGAAUGGAAUUAGUGAAAUAAAUCAACUUUUUGAUGAUAUUCAAAUUAUAUGACCAGCACCUGUAUAUCA